UACAGGGGGGGCAAGCGUUGUCCGGAAUCAUUGGGCGUAAAGGGCGCGUAGGCGGCCAUCUAAGUCAGACGUGAAAUCCCCCGGCUUAACCUGGGAACUGCGUCUGAUACUGGACGGCUGGAGUUUGGGAGAGGGAUGUAGAAUUCCAGGUGUAGCGGUGAAAUGCGUAGAUAUCUGGAGGAAUACCGGUGGCGAAGGCGGCAUCCUGGACCAAUACUGACGCUGAGGCGCGAAAGCUAGGGGAGCAAACGGG
rnacentral:rRNA from 1 species